CAACAUCAACAGAAAAAUGUACUGCUACUGCUGAUGGUUUUGUUUUUCUUUUUAAAGGUAUAACAGGAAUCACUCUUAAUAUUUCAUUGUAAAUUCAAGAAGGAUUUUUUUGCGAAUUCUUCGAAUUUAUUUCACAAGUGCACUGAAUGAAGGAUAUUAAAAAAUGUAAACCAGGAACAUGUUUAUUGGCGGAAGAUAAAAGCAAAAUGAAUGAAAAUAGAGUAAAAGCAUUGUUGAAUUGGGACCUUGUAAAAUUGGAGAAGUAUGUUCGAGCUUUGAUUGAAAACGUGCCACAGUCUAUUGUUCAAUCUAGAUGCGGUGAACCAAAGUCAUUGAGCUGUGGAACAAAAUCAUCCGAAAAAAAUGUGUUCGAAAUUGGUAUUGAAGACCACCCUGAAAUUCAAGCAAAGGUUAGAGAAGCAUGCUUGUAUAUUCAGCCUUUGAAAGAAUUCUCUGUAUGUGUUGAAAUUUUGUUGAAGACUUCUGAGGGCGAUACCCUAGUUCUUGAACUAUGGCAUUUGAGGAUGGAGCAUUCAGAAGAUUUUUGGGAUGCACGAUACAAAAUGUACUGUGACCCUGAAGUGGUAUUUGGUAAUAUGAUGUGUCUUAUGAAGUCGGUCAUUACUAUAUCUCGUGCAGUACCUACUUAUAAGCUUUCCCUCAAGCAGAGUGCUGAUACUUAUGUAAUCUUGUACAGAAUUUAUCAAGGUGAU